GGGGAAUAUUGGACAAUGGGCGAAAGCCUGAUCCAGCAAUGCCGCGCGAGUGAUGAAGGCCUUAGGGUUGUAAAGCUCUUUUACCCGGGAAGAUAAUGACUGUACCGGGAGAAUAAGCCCCGGCUAACUUCGUGCCAGCAGCCGCGGUAAUACGCAGGGGGCAAGCGUUGUUCGGAAUUACUGGGCGUAAAGGGCGCGUAGGCGGCUUAUCAAGUCAGGCGUGAAAUUCCCGGGCUCAACCUGGGGGCUGCGCUUGAUACUGAUGAGCUUGAAUGCGGGAGAGGAUAGUGGAAUUCCCAGUGUAGAGGUGAAAUUCGUAGAUAUUCGGAAGAACACCAGUGGCGAAGGCGACUUACUGGACACAUAUUGACGCUGAGAUGCGAAAGCGUGGGGAGCAAA
rnacentral:rRNA from 1 species